UACGUAGGGUGCGAGCGUUGUCCGGAAUUAUUGGGCGUAAAGAGCUCGUAGGCGGUCUGUCGCGUCGAUCGUGAAAACUUGGGGCUUAACCCUGAGCUUGCGGUCGAUACGGGCAUGACUGGAGUUCGGCAGGGGAGACUGGAAUUCCUGGUGUAGCGGUGAAAUGCGCAGAUAUCAGGAGGAACACCGGUGGCGAAGGCGGGUCUCUGGGCCGACACUGACGCUGAUGCGCGAAAGCCAGGGGAGCGAACGGG
rnacentral:rRNA from 1 species